UGGGGAAUAUUGCACAAUGGGCGCAAGCCUGAUGCAGCCAUGCCGCGUGUAUGAAGAAGGCCUUCGGGUUGUAAAGUACUUUCAGUCGGGAGGAAGGUGUCAAGGUUAAUAACCUUGGCAAUUGACGUUACCGACAGAAGAAGCACCGGCUAACUCCGUGCCAGCAGCCGCGGUAAUACGGAGGGUGCAAGCGUUAAUCGGAAUUACUGGGCGUAAAGCGCACGCAGGCGGUUGAUUGAGUCAGAUGUGAAAUCCCCGGGCUUAACCCGGGAAUUGCAUCUGAUACUGGUCAGCUAGAGUCUUGUAGAGGGGGGUAGAAUUCCAUGUGUAGCGGUGAAAUGCGUAGAGAUCUGGAGGAAUACCGGUGGCGAAGGCGGCCCCCUGGACGAAGACUGACGCUCAGGUGCGAAAGCGUGGGGAGCAAACAGG
rnacentral:rRNA from 1 species